GUUUCCAUGGCUGCGGACGGCGGGGGGAGCAGCAACGGCGCUGCCCGAGACCCCCCUGCCUCAUCCCUCCGUCCGGCCCCGGGACGCGGAAGAGGGUGACCUUGGAUUGCGCUCUGCGAGAAAAAGAAUCGGUUAAGCGACCAGGCCGUGGCUGGGAAGCAAGAGGCGCAGGCCCCAGGGCAUCCCACCUCCUCCUCCGGCGGUCACGGCCCCUUUAAGACUGAAACCACCCGGGCUGAUAAAACUAGGGACGGGAGGGGGAAGCGGGAAAGACUGAACCACAGGGCGGCGGCUCGGAGGGAGAACCGGAAAGAAGAAGCAAACAAUCCCCACUCUUUCGGCCAAUUUAUCGUAUGGGAAUAGGAAAAAACAAAGACCAGACGGUUUCGCGACUUAUGAAAAUCUACUUAAGGCGUGUUUCUGACUGUUGAAAUAUUUUUCCCUUCCUAGCCCCUUGUAAAACCGCCCUCUCCGCGUCUGGCCUUGUGUUCUCCCGAGUGUAAACAGUCCAUUGAAUUAAGCCAGAGCUUCGCCCAGCGGACCGACCCAAGUCCCCGUGGGCAGCAGGGUGAGGGGGUUGGGUUACCAGUUAGGCGUCCCUCUGCGCGCCAAGCUGGGGGCCCGCUUGCCCUCCCCAAACAGUCGAAACAGUGGGAGUAGCGUCGGCUUAGGCUCUUGCCUUUGCUCCGGGGACGGCGCCCUUACCUGGCCGACGCUCCUCCAUUUCCUGGCAGCCCGUUUCCCCCCUGAAGUCGCCGGUUGGGGAUGGUCCACUCCGGACCGCGGCUGCCUCCGGGACUUAGCUGAGCGAGAGGCGGUGGCCAGGGCCUGGCCUGCGAUGAAUUCUGCUGCUGCACCGGUGGUAGCAGCCGCGCUCUUAGAGGAAGACCGGACGCCCAGGCUCCCGCGGCUCUCCACGUGUUGGCGCUGGCUGAGCCCUUUACAUAACCCUUUUAUAUUAGCCGCACCUCCCGUCGGCGCUCGGGCCAGCGGGGACUCCUGGUGGCCCAUCCCCCGGGAGGCCGGCCGAGCGCAGAACCGCCGGGGUCCCGCGGAGAUCGACGGAGCAGCCGCAGCCCAACGCACCGGGAACUCUGCGCCGGGGCCCAAUCACGGGCGAGAACACUCAAGGACACCUAACCAACAAAAAUUACGCGCCAAAUUCCCGCGAGCCGCAGCGGCCUCCGGGUCUCAGUAGCAAUCUGCGCACUGUAGCCCCCUCUCUCCUUGCUUCCGCGAAUAGGCACCGCACGCAACUUUCACCUAUACUGGCUUUACCAUUAAUUGAUGAUUGUUGCCUGAAUCCAUUAUUAUUAUGAUGCUUGCAAAAUGGUGAUCGCGAGACCUCUUUGGAAUAGACAUUUGAACUGAGUCAUGGACGUCAAGGAGCCAGCCAUGCUAAAAACAGUGGAAAGGCAUUCUGGGAAGAGAGAACAGCAAGUACUUGAGGCUGGAACAAGUUUGAUGUCAAAUUUCAGUCAAUUGGUAAUUGAGGCACAGAGAAGUUAGGCAACUUGCCCAAGAUCACACAGCUAGGAAGUCAAACAACAGGGAAUUCUAAUCCAGGAAUGGAACCUUGAAACUCCCUGAGAGAUGAAUGGGAAGAUUCCAUGUGCUAAUCUCAUUUCCAAAUGUAAUUGGUGCCUGAAUGAUGAAGCUCUCUGCUUCCAAAAGCCUGUGUUAACAGAGCCAUCCAUCCUCCUGCUCCAUUUAGGUGGGCCAGAAUGCCACCAUGAUGCACAUUCAUUGUUUCAGCGAUGGAGAAGAAGUAGUUGGUACAACCUUUCUGGAAGGCAAUUUGGCAAUAUGUAUCAAAAUUUUAAAUUUGCAGAACCUUCAGUCUAGCAAUUUCAUUUCAACAAUUUAAUUUAUCCCAAAGAAAUAAUUGGACAAACAUGUAAGGAGGUACAAAGAUGUCCAGCACAGCUUUGUUUAUAAUUGUGAACAAUUGGAAACAUUCUAAAUGUCAAACAAUAGGGACAGAUUACAUCAAUGAUGGCACAGCCACACAAUGGCAUGCUUACUGUGCAGCUGUUGCCAAAGAUGAGGUAGAGCUGCAUGUAUGCUAAGAUUGCGGUAAUGUUCAGGUAUAUCCUGCAGAAUGUUUCCCUGGUUAAGAUUUUCCCAAUAGAAUAUCUCUUGGUUUAUAAUAACUAAACUUGAUAGAAUAUAUCUUUUUCUCAAUAAUAUGCUUUUUUGGCAAAUGCUUACAUAGGAAAAUAUUUAUAGUUUGCAUCCCUAAAACUCAAUAGAACAUUUUAAAUAAAAUUAUUUGGAGGAAAACUUUUCACAUCAUAUCCUAAAUAAAACUGAUACAUCAGAAUUACAUGUAGAAAUGUUGAAAUAUCAACCAACUGACCCAGCCCCUCCAGUACCAAGGAGUGGCCAUUUGAUGCAAUUCUAGCCAAGGAAGUAUAAGUGGAAGUCACUGGGUGAGAUUUCCGGGAAAGCUUUUAUAAAAGGGUCAAAGAUCACUUGCUUUGGCCUUUUAGCUCCUUCCCCAUUCCUCCUGCCUGGAACCAUGGAUGUGUUGCCUACAAGUGCAGCAGACAUAAUGCAACUAUGAGGCCACAGAGCCUGAAGAGGAAGGCUUCUGCACUCCAGCACAAAGGAAAGAAGCCUCUUACUUGUUCAUAUCACCCAUUUUGGUCAUUUUUUCUGCUAUACACUCCCAAUCACAAUCCCGAUACAAUUGCCACUAUUUUCCCUUUUUCCUCUUUCUAAAACCAAAUGACAAAAACCUAUCAUGUACUAGUAAAUAUACUUUCUCAUCAUGGUAAAGGGCAUAUAUAAAAAACCCACAACUAACAUCAUACUUGGGAACAAGAUAAGGACACCCACUGUCACCACUAAUGUUUAACAUUGUACUGGAAGUUCCAGCCGGAGCAAUU